rnacentral:rRNA from 1 species
CCUACGGGUGGCAGCAGUGGGGAAUAUUGCGCAAUGGGGGCAACCCUGACGCAGCAACGCCGCGUGAUUGAAGAAGGCCCUCGGGUUGUAAAGAUCCUUAAUCGGGGACGAAUUUUGACGGUACCCGAAGAAUAAGCUCCUGCUAACUACGUGCCAGCAGCCGCGGUAAUACGUAGGGAGCACGCGUUAUCCGGAUUUACUGGGUGUAAAGGGCGUGGAGGCGGGAAUGCAAGCCAGAAGUGAAAUCUUGGGGCUUAACCCCCAAACUGCUUUUGAAACUGCGUGUCUUGAGUGAUGGAGAGGCAGGCGGAAGUCCCAGUGUAGCGGUGAAAUGCGGAGAUAUUGGGAAGAACGCCAGUGGCGAAGGCGGCCUGCUGGACAUUAACUGACGCUGAGGCGCGAAAGCGUGGGGAGCAAACAGGAUUAGAUACCCGGGUAGUC